AGUUAUGCUCAGGUAUUUGCUUAUCAUGAAGAACUAUAUAAGGAUACAAAUCUGGAGAAGGUGUCGAGAUGAAUGGAAGCUCUUAGAGAAGCAGCAAACGUGCAUGAGUGGGUGGCUUUUGGAUAACAGUGAAUUCAUGGAAAAGUGAGCACGAGAAGACGAGAAAGCCACCGGUAAUGCAUGAAGAUGCAGAGGUUGUCAGAGAUCAAACAGGAAGAGUCUCAAUCUCUUUCCUGAGUUAAUCUCGACCCUUUUUCACUUUGUCUGUUUUUUGUUAACGGAUUCUCGAUAAAACCAAAGUCAUUAAAGCUGCCAAUAAAUAACGAAUACAUCUAUAAGAGGCGAAAUUUUUCAUUGCGAUCGGAAUACGAAUGGUGCAUCACGUGUUUUUAUAUAAGUGGUGAAAAAUUUAUUUUUUAAGUUAUUAACUUUUUGACACACAUAUCCCACUAUUUAUAUAGUGACAUAUGAUGUACUAUCUCGUAUUCCGAUCACAUUGAAAAAUUUCUUCUAUAAGAGAAUUCUCUUUGUCAGAGAAAUUUUUUUAGAUUUCGGGAGCACUAGUUGAGCUGGUAUUCCCCACAAAUAAAAACUUGACACAUGUUCACCACUAAUUAACAUCUCACAUAUGAUUAAAAACUCUGCGUAGUUAAGAUGCAAUUCGGUUUUGAGAAAAUAUAAUUAAUGGAUUUAUGAUGAACUUCCUUUCUUAUACCUAACAUUCAUUAUUUAAUUUCUCAAAAAAGAAUUUAUUUGAUUAAAGAA